ACAAGGGAGCGGACCAGCACCAGCCCCACCUCUCCCACCUUCUCUCUCUUCAUCCGCAUCGCCGCUAUUCUUGGAGCGAGAAGGGAGCAGAGCUGCAGCGUGCGCUGCGCGGUCGAUCUAGAGGGCACCGGAGAUGCCGGCGAGGCCGAAGGGACGAUGGCAUCGAGCUCAUGGGCCACCUGCCCGACAUGGCGAGACCUGGCCCACAAUAAAUGCGGUCAAGGUGACCAGGAGCCCUUCGACGGCGGCUGCUCAAGCAAGUGGGCCACUUGCGCGGCGGCGGGGAUCAUCUCCGCGUCCUCCGGUCAAGUACUCUUCCUCACGGCCACGCCGUUGCCGAAGGCGGUCGCGAGCGCGUCAUGGUGUUCCUCUCCGCUGGAGUGUCCCAGCGCGGUGGCCACUGCCGAUGCUACCACCGGCCACCGCGUCUAGCCGCAGGAAACAGAGGAUAGGCGGGAGCGCUGCGGGCGACGCGGCGGUGUCUCCACACCAGCUCAGCUACACGAGUUUCAUACUUGCUCCGGCACCACCGAGCACGUGGAACACAAGUGUGGCGUCGAGUCCGGCAACCAUCGGCGCGGGGGCUCCAGCCGGUGGUAUUUCAAAUUUCAAUCCAUCGACUUGAUCUGGUCAAUUUUUAUUACCCAUUUCAAGUUCAGUCAGGUCGGUUUGUCUAAAAGAAAGUUUAGUCAGAUCAACAGCACCAGUUCACCGCAACGGUAUUCUCCUCUUGAUCCAUUCCAGGUUUGCUAUUUCAGUCCCACAUUAUUGCUGAACACACAAGCAAGUUUGCAGCAUCUGCCAAGUGUCAUGCAGCUGUGCCAAAUUGGAGAACUUCGUUUUAGGUGGAGGCGUGGAGCUCUCAGCUCUGACAAAUUGGGAGUGCACUGGUUCGUCUGGUAAAUAGAUGAAUCAGUUAUAUUAACUCUUGCUGCUUCAGUCUUUGUAAACAGAACUAGCAAUAUUUCAUUCGUCUUCAUAGGAGGACAUGAGUACGAUGCUAUUGGGAAUAGAUGUAGAUGAUAUAAUUAGAAGGCACCAGGCUAUUAUCAAUAGUAGUUAAUUUGAUAAGUAGGACCAGCUCAAUAGUAGUGAAUUUUAUAAAACACGUUGCUAGAGGUGUUGACUGUUGAGGCAAUUUUUUUUUCUUCACUGAGAGCUUAGAAGUUCAAAUUCAGAUCAGUUGAGUAUUUGCAAUCCUAAUGUACACACCGGUUUGCAAUCCAAUAAACUUGCAGGGAAAACGAUACAAGCUACAAGUGGUUAUUACAGAGGUCAGCACUCCUGAUGAUUGGUGUUAUUUGUCAUGCUAAGACUGCUAGAAAGAAACAUACCCAAAUGGGAGCGCAUACAUCUGCCUUAACUGCUUUGCAGGCAAUAUCAUGGAAACAAGCUACACAUACGAGAAAAAGAGAAGGAAAAAAAUUGAGGGUCUAUUGCUGCAGCAGCUAAAAAGGGUACAUUUUUACCUCUAUUCAUGUUAAUAGAACUACAGCAGGAGUAUGAACUCACUGUCUAUCCAGUGUAAGUCAUAAUUAUAACCAUCCCCUUAAUUAUCAUGUACCCAGUAUUGACAUGGUAUGUAUAUGUCAGUUCUUGCAUACAUUGCUUCGGCAGGUAAAGGGUGUCAAAAUUUCAUCACUCUGGUGCAGGAUACAUAAUAGGCCGACAUGCUCUGCUCUCAAAACUGUAUGUAUUCUGAAUAGCUGAAAUCAGUAGCAGGUAUAAAUGUACUAUGCCGCAUCUCCUCAAGAACCAUGAAUGAUUAUUCUCUUCUCCCUAUUGCCUAUUGUUUUCUCUCACUUAGAAGAGAAUCGGCACAUUGUCAGAAGGUGCUCUACUUGGCUAGGAAUGUCCAACGUCGAGAUGGCGGUGUUCCAAGAACUCCUGUGUGAGUUUUUUGGCCUGAAAUGUUUGAAGUCUGUAAUGGUUUUGCCUGAGUGUCUCGGCUUGCUCUUGUGUGAGCACUAACAAUCUGUAAAUCAAUAUUUGAGGUUUCUAACAGAGCUUGCCACUCUACGAUCUGUAACCAAUAUGGAAGUGAUUUUAGGUGGUGUUUUUUUUACCUUAGACUAUAGAUGGUCUGCCAGCAGACAUUGAUACUUAUAAGUUUCGAGAUUUUUUUAAUACUACACUCUUCUAUUUUUCACAUCAUAA